GUUUGAUCCUGGCUCAGGACGAACGCUGGCGGCGCGCCUAACACAUGCAAGUCGAACGAGCGAGAGGAGGUUUACUUUCUCAAGCGAGUGGCGAACGGGUGAGUAACGCGUGAGGAACCUGCCUCAAAGAGGGGGACAACAGUUGGAAACGACUGCUAAUACCGCAUAAGCCCACGACCUGGCAUCGGGUAGAGGGAAAAGGAGCAAUCCGCUUUGAGAUGGCCUCGCGUCCGAUUAGCUAGUUGGUGAGGUAAUGGCCCACCAAGGCGACGAUCGGUAGCCGGACUGAGAGGUUGAACGGCCACAUUGGGACUGAGACACGGCCCAGACUCCUACGGGAGGCAGCAGUGGGGAAUAUUGCACAAUGGGGGAAACCCUGAUGCAGCGACGCCGCGUGGAGGAAGAAGGUCUUCGGAUUGUAAACUCCUGUUGUUGAGGAAGAUAAUGACGGUACUCAACAAGGAAGUGACGGCUAACUACGUGCCAGCAGCCGCGGUAAAACGUAGGUCACAAGCGUUGUCCGGAAUUACUGGGUGUAAAGGGAGCGCAGGCGGGAAGACAAGUUGGAAGUGAAAUCCAUGGGCUCAACCCAUGAACUGCUUCAAAA
rnacentral:rRNA from 1 species